rnacentral:rRNA from 1 species
UACGGGGGGGGCAAGCGUUGUUCGGAAUUACUGGGCGUAAAGGGCUCGUAGGCGGCCAACUAAGUCGGAUGUGAAAUCCCCAGGCUCAACUUGGGAACUGCAUCCGAUACUGGAUGGCUUGAAUUCGGGAGAGGGAUGCAGAAUUCCAGGUGUAGCGGUGAAAUGCGUUGAUAUCAUCUGGAAUACCGGAGGCGAAGGCGGCUCACUGGGAGUUUUCUGACGCUGAGGAACGAAAGCCAGGGUAGCGAACGGG